rnacentral:lncRNA from 13 species
AUGUUUCUAAUGGGAUGCAGGACAAGAAUGAGUGCUGAAGGUCAAAACCAGUGGGCUUUAAUGGAUAUCUUUGAGUUUUUCUUCCAAAACCAUAUCCCUUUGUCCCCUGCUUUAUAUCUGAAGAGGAUGACCUAUAGAGAUUACAUCCGCAGCCAGAGCAGAGGUUGUCACCUUCUCCUGGGCCCACUAAAUGCCAGCAGUCCCCCCACACCGUCACUGUGACAACCAAAAACCCUCAUGCCAAUAUCCAGAUUGCCUGACCCCAUGAGUCCAGACUGUGGGAGUUACCUUCAGAAGAACCAGAACAAGAAAUAUUUAGAAGAGGUUGCCUCUGGGAAGGAGGCCACUGGCUAGGAGGGACGGCUGGGAGACUCUUGCUUUUUAUCAUAAGCACUUGUGUUCUAUUUAAUUUUUACCAUGUUUAUGCAUUAUAUACACAUAUAAAUUUUAUUAAAAAUCAAAAAAGUGUUGCUGCCUUUCCUAUGGACAGGAAGUUAUUGACUUCAGCCCAAAUUACCAUUGCCACAAUCAGGCUACCACUACAGUUAGGAAGCUGUUGCUUCUGCCACCAGAGUUAGAGCCAUACUGCCUCCUACCAUCUGUAUCUGUACCUGUGAAAUGGAUAUGCAGUAUGUUGCCUUUCAACAUGCAUGAAGGUAGUGACUGGACAAUGAGACCUUUUCUAACACAACCAACGAAAAUACAAAUGUCUUCGCAAUCUUAGUUGAUCACAUAAACAAAAACAACAGCAAAGGAAAGGAGGAGACUGGCAUCCUCCUCACUUGUGCCUUUCAAAUUUUAGAAAAGUCCAUCUUCUUUCCAAAACUAAAUCACGUUCAGGUCUUGGCAAUGAUUUAUUGGAUUGGAAUUAUACCAUCAUCUCUACUGCAUCUCCUGCUUGCCAAUUGCAGAUCUUGGACCUCUCAGCUCCAAGUGUGAGCCAGUUUCUGAUAGUAAAUACACACACACACACACACACACACACACACACACACACUUCUUAUACUAUAGGAAUAUAUAUAUUACACAUAUAACAUAUGCAAUAUAUAAUAUAUGUAAGUAUGUGUGUUCUGUUUCUCUGGAGUACUAUUGGUCUGUUUCUCUGGAGAACCCUAACACAGAAUUUGAAAUUGAGAGUGGUUCCACAGAUACAGAAUUUUAAGGAUGAAUUUUCUGAACGGUUUUAUAUUUACAGAGAUCAUUUGGAAUACAGAGAAUACCUAUAAUCCUAUACCCAGUUUUCCUUAUUGUUAUCAUUUUACCAUUAAGAUGGUACAUUUGUUGCAAUUAAUUAACCAAUAAUGAUGCAUUAGUAUGAACUAAAGCAAUACUUUAUUUAGAUCUCCUUAGUUUUUAGCUAUUGUCCUUUUUUGGGGAGGAUCCCAUUUUAAUUACCAAAUCACACUUAUCACACUUCUUAGUCUUUUAUUGGCUAUGACAAUUUCACAAACUUUCCCUUGUUUUCCUUUCUUUUUUUAAUAAUAGGCAUAUUUUGCUUUUUAUUAUGUGACAUAUAUAAAAAUAAAAUUAACGUGUAAUUUCUAUUUACUUAUUUA